CAUCAUCAGUGGAUGCCUUUGCUGUCCGUAGCCUGAGAUUUCAGAUUUGCAGCAAAAAAAUUUUGAUUUUCUCAUUUAUUGGAAUGCUGUGCAGGUAUUUGUACCUUGCAGCCAUCCAUUACAAUGUCACCAAGCCGUAACAAAAGCAGGAGAGGGAAAGUACAAGGCUAUGUUCCCAAAACACACAAGUGACAUACCUUAUGUGGAGGAUGUGAUCAGGCUUGUGUUUGAUGAGGUAUUUGAAGAUAAGCUGAAGGAAGCCCUGAUUCCAAUGGACCUGGCAUCACAGUUUGAGAGACCUUCAAAGGAGGACGUGAUUGCAUGCCAUCUUCAGUGCAGGGGUCGUCGAAAGCCAAAAUUGUGACCGAUCUGAUCAGGAAGCUCCAAGCGUAUCUGGAGAACAACACACGACAGGAUGAUAACCUUAUAGUGUCGUCUUAAAUAGCACCAGCUGACAAAGCUUUGAUAUGCCAUUUAUCUGAAUAGAUAGCUGUAAGAAAUGAAUUGAACAAUUUUUGAAACAAGAGCACAAUAUGGUUACUAAAGUAUGUUUA